UACAGAGGGUGCGAGCGUUGUCCGGAAUCACUGGGCGUAAAGGGCGCGUAGGCGGCCCGGUAAGGUUGCGGUGAAAGCCCGGGGCUCAACCCCGGGUCGGCCGUGGCAACUGCUGGGCUGGAGCACAGUAGAGGCGGGUGGAAUUCCGGGUGUAGCGGUGGAAUGCGUAGAGAUCCGGAAGAACACCAGUGGCGAAGGCGGCGUCCUGGCCUGCGACUGACGCUGUGGCGCGAAAGCGUGGGGAGCAACAGG
rnacentral:rRNA from 1 species